rnacentral:rRNA from 1 species
AUUGAACGCUGGCGGAAUGCUUUACACAUGCAAGUCGAACGGCAGCACGGACUUCGGUCUGGUGGCGAGUGGCGAACGGGUGAGUAAUGUAUCGGAACGUGCCCAGUCGGGGGGGAUAACGUAGUGAAAAUUACGCUAAUACCGCAUACGAUCUAUGGAUGAAAGCGGGGGAUCGCAAGACCUCGCGCGAUUGGAGCGGCCGAUAUCAGAUUAGGUAGUUGGUGGGGGAAAGGCCCACCAAGCCAACGAUCUGUAGCUGGUCUGAGAGGACGGCCAGCCACACUGGAACUGGGACACGGUCCAGACUCCUACGGGAGGCAGCAGUGGGGAAUUUUGGACAAUGGGCGAAAGCCUGAUCCAGCCAUUCCGCGUGAAGGAUGAACGCCCUCGGGUUGUAAACUGCUUUUGUACAGAACGAAAAGGUUUCUACUAAUACUAGGAGCUCAUGACGGUACUGUAAGAAUAAGCACCGGCUAACUACGUGCCAGCCGCCGCGGUAA